rnacentral:rRNA from 1 species
UACAGAGGUCUCAAGCGUUGUUCGGAUUCAUUGGGCGUAAAGGGUGUGUAGGUGGCGCCGUAAGUCAGGUGUGAAAUUUCGGAGCUCAACUCCGAAACUGCAUUUGAUACUGCGGUGCUUGAGGACUGGAGAGGAGACUGGAAUUUACGGUGUAGCGGUGAAAUGCGUAGAUAUCGUAAGGAAGACCAGUGGCGAAGGCGGGUCUCUGGACAGUUCCUGACGCUGAGGCACGAAGGUCAGGGGAGCAAACGGG